rnacentral:rRNA from 1 species
GACGUAGGGGGCGAGCGUUGUCCGGAUUUAUUGGGCGUAAAGCGCGCGCAGGCGGUUCGGAAAGUCGGGUGUGAAAACCCGGGGCUCAACCCCGGACCUGCAUCCGAUACUCCCGGACUGGAGGCAGGUAGGGGAGAGCGGAAUUCCCGGUGUAGCGGUGAAAUGCGCAGAUAUCGGGAAGAACACCGGUGGCGAGGGCGGCUCUCUGGACCUCCUGACGCUCAGGCGCGAAAGCUAGGGGAGCGAACAGG